rnacentral:rRNA from 1 species
GGAUGCGAUCAUACCAGCACUAAAGCACCGGAUCCCAUCAGAAAUCCGAAGUUAAGCGUGCUUGGGCGAGAGUAGUACUAGGAUGGGUGACCUCCUCGUGUUGCAUUCU